rnacentral:lncRNA from 1 species
AUAGAAAACCUGGAUUAAGCUACUUGAACAUUGAGCAUCAAGAUCUAUGAGGAUAGAUCAAAAACGCUUAAUGGUACUUUCAAAUGAGCAUAUACCUUAACAUGAUCUUGAAGGUGUUCAAGAUGGAUCAGUCAAAGAAGGAGUUCUUGCCUGAGAUGUAAGGUAUGAAGUUAAGACUUAAAGCUCGACCACGGCAGAAAAGAGAGAAAGGACGAAGGUCGUCCCCUUUGCUUUAGACGUAGGCUCUACAGUAUGCUAUGCUGUGUACCGCACCUGAUGUGUGCCUUGCUACAUAUCUGGCAAGAGGGUACAAAGGUGAUCAAGGAGUGGAUCACUGGAUAGCGGUCAAAAUUAUCCUUAGAGGAAUAAGGAUAUGUUUCUCGAUUAUGGAGGUGAUAAAGAGUUCGGCGUAAAGGGUUACGUUGAUGCAAGCUUUAACACCUAUCCGAGUGACUCUGAGUAGCAAACCGGAUACGUAUAGUGGAGCGACCAUUUGGAAUAGCUCCAAGUGGAGCGUGGAAGCAGCAUUUACAGAAUGCCCUAGAGACUUGCGAAGUACAGACCCGUUGACUAAAACCUCUCUCACAAGCAAAACAUGAUCAAACCCCAGAACUCAUUUAGUCUUAAUCACAUGAUGAUGUGAACUAGUUUAAUGACACUAGUAAACUCUUUGGAUGUUGGUCACAUGGCGAUGUGACGUGUGAAUGUUAAUCACAUGACGAUGUGAACUAGAUUAUUGACUCUAGUGCAAGUGGGAGACUGUUGGAAAUAUGCCCUAGAGACAAUAAUAAAUUAGUUAUUAUUAUAUUUCCUUGUUCAUGAUAAUCGUUUAUUAUCCAUGCUAUAAUUGUAUUGAUAGGAAACUCAGAUACAUGUGUGGGUACAUAGACAACACCAUGUCCCUAGUGAGCCUCUAGUUGACUAGCUCGUUGAUCAACAGAUGGUUACGGUUUCCUGACCAUGGACAUUAGAUGUCAUUGAUAACGGGAUCACAUCAUUAGCAGAAUGAUGUGAUGGACAAGACCCAAUCCUAAGCCUAGCACAAAGAUCGUAGUUCGUAUGCUAAAGCUUUUCUAAUGUCAAGUAUCAUUUCCUUAGACCAUGAGAUUGUGCAACUCCCGGAUACCGUAGGAAUGCUUUGGGUGUACCAAACGUCCCAACGUAACUGGGUGGCUAUAAAGGUGCACUACAGGUAUCUCAGAAAGUAUCUGUUGGGUUGGCACGAAUCGAGACUGGGAUUUGUCACUCCGUGUAAACGGAGAGGCAUCUCUGGGCCCACUCGGUAGGACAUCAUCAUAAUGUGCACAAUGUGACCAAGGGGUUGAUCACGGGAUGAUGUGUUACAGAACGAGUAAAGAGACUUGCCGGUAACGAGAUUGAACAAGGUAUCGGUAUACUGACGAUCGAAUCUCGGGCAAGUACAAUACCGUUAGACAAAGGGAAUUGUAUACGGGAUCGAUUGAGUCCUUGACAUCGUGGUUCAUCCGAUGAGAUCAUCGUGGAACAUGUGGGAGCCAACAUGGGUAUCCAGAUCCCGCUGUUGGUUAUUGACCGGAGAACGUCUCGGUCAUGUCUACAUGUCUCCCGAACCCGUAGGGUCUACACACUUAAGGUUCGAUGAAGCUAGGGUUAUAAAGGAAGUUUGUAUGUGGUUACCGAAUGUUGUUCGGAGUCCCGGAUGAGAUCUCGGACGUCAAGAGGAGUUCCGGAAUGGUCCGGAGGUAAAGAUUUAUAUAUGGAAAGUUGUUGUUCGGGUUCCGGGAAAAGUUCGGGUUUUUCCAGUAUUGUACCGGGAAGCUUCCAGAAGGUUCCAGAGGAUUCUGAAGGGGUCCGGAGGUCCGGAAAUUGUUCCACCACGUCCAAUACAGUAGCAUGGGCUGUAAGGGGGCGCCCUAGCCUUAAUGGGCCAGGGGCACCAGCCCCCCAAAGGCCCAUGCGCAUGGGAAGGGGGAAACCCUAAGGGGGAGGGCCUCCACUUGACUUGGGAGGCACUCCUCCCCCCUUGGCCGCCGCCCCAACCCUAGAUGGGAUCUAGGGGGGGGCUCUUCCCCCCACCUAUAAAUAAUGGAGGGGUGGGAGGGCAGCUGCACCCCAAGUUCUAGCGCAGCCCACCCCCUCUCCCAUGUACUCCUCCUCUCUCGCGGUGCUUGGCGAAGCCCUGCAGGAUUGCCACACUCCUCCACCACCACCACGCCGUUGUUCUGCUGUUGGAUGGAGUCUUCCUCAACCUCUCCCUCUCUCCUUGCUGGAUCAAGGCAUGAGAGACAUCACUGAGCUGUACGUGUGUUGAACGCGGAGGUGCCGUCCGUUCGGCACUAGGAUCUUCAAUGAUUUGGAUCACGACGAGUACGACUCCUUCAACCCCGUUCUCUCGAACGCUUACGCUUAGCAAUCUACAAGGGUAUGUAGAUGCACUCUCCUUCCCCUCGUUGCUGGUUUCUCCAUAGAUAGAUCUUGGUGACACGUAGGAAAAUUUUGAAUUUCUGCUACGUUCCCCAACAGUGGCAUCAUGAGCUAGGUCUAUUGCGUAGAUUCUUUGCACGAGUAGAACACAAAGUAGUUGUGGGCGUUGAUUUUGUUCAAUAUGCUUACCGUUUCUAGUCCAAUCUUGAUUCGGCGGCAUUGUGGGAUGAAGCGGCCCGGACCGACCUUACACGUACACUUACGUGAGACAGGUUCCACCGACUAACAUGCACUUGUUGCAUAAGGUUGCUAGCGGGUGCCAGUCUCUCCCACUUUAGUCGGAUCGGAUUCGAUGAAAAGGGUCCUUAUGAAGGGUAAAUAGCAAUUGGCAUAUCAUGUUGUGGCUUUUGCGUAGGUAAGAAACGUUCUUGCUAGAAACCCAUAGCAGCCACGUAAAACAUGCAAACAACAAUUAGAGGACGUCUAACUUGUUUUUGCAGGGUAUGCUAUGUGAUGUGAUAUGGCCAAGAAGAAUGCGAUGAAUGAUAUGUGAUGUAUGAGAUUGAUCAUGUUCUUGUAAUAGGAAUCACGACUUGCAUGUCGAUGAGUAUGACAACCGGCAGGAGCCAUAGGAGUUGUCUUAAUUUAUUGUAUGACCUGCGUGUCAUUAAACAACGCCAUGUAAUUACUUUACUUUAUUGCUAACCGGUAGCCAUAGUAGUAGAAGUAAUAGUUGGCGAGACAACUUCAUGAAGACACGAUGAUGGAGAUCAUGAUGAUGGAGAUCAUGGUGUCAUGCCGGUGACGAUGAUGAUCAUGGAGACCCAAAGAUGGAGAUCAAAAGGAGCAAAAUGAUAUUGGCCAUAUCAUGUCACUAUUUGACUGCAUGUGAUGUUUAUCAUGUUUAUGCAUCUUAUUUGCUUAGAACGACGGUAGUAAAUAAGAUGACCCCUCAUUAAAAUUUCAAGAAAGUGUUCCCCCUAACUGUGCACCGUUGCGAAAGUUCGUCGUUUCGAAGCACCACGUGAUGAUCGGGUGUGAUAGAUUCUUACGUUCACAUACAACGGGUGUAAGCCAGAUUUACACACACGAAACACUUAGGUUGACUUGACGAGCCUAGCAUGUACAGACAUGGCCUCGGAACAUAAGAGACCGAAUGGUCGAGCAUGAGUCGUAUAGUAGAUACGAUCAACAUGAAGAUGUUCACCGAUGAUGACUAGUCCGUCUCACGUGAUGAUCGGACACGGCCUAGUUGACUCAGAUCAUGUAAUCACUUAGAUGACUAGAGGGAUGUCUAUCUGAGUGGGAGUUCAUAAGAUGAACUUAAUUAUCUUGAACAUAUUCAAAAGAUCUUUGCAAAUUAUGUCGUAAGCUCGCGCUUUAGUUCCACUGUUUAGAUAUGUUCCUAGAGAAAAUAUAGUUGAAAGUUGACAGUAGCGAUUAUGCGGACAGUAGAAAGCUUAUGUCCUUAAUGCACCGCUCAGUGUGCUGAACCCCAAACGUCGCUUGUGGAUGUUGCGAACAUCGGACAUACACGUUUUGAUAACUACGUGAUAGUUCAGUAAAACGGUUUAGAGUUGAGGCACCAAAGAUUUUUUCGAAAUGUUGCGGAACAUAUGAGAUGUUUCGAGGGUUGAAAUUGGGAUUUCAGGCUCAUGCCCACGUCAAGAGGUAUGAGACCUCCGACGAUUUUCUUAGCCUGCAAACUAAGGGAGAAAAGGUCAAUCGUUGAGCUUGUGCUCAGAUUGUCUGAGUGCAACAAUCACUUGAAUCGAGUGGGAGUUGAUCUUCCAGAUGAGAUAGUGAUAUUUCUCCAAAGUCAUUGCCACCAAGCUGCUAGAGCUUCGUGAUGAACUAUAACAAAUCAGGGAUAGAUAUGAUGAUCCUUGAGAUAUUCACGAUGUUUGACACCACGAAUGUAGGAAUCAAGAAGGAGCAUAAAUUGUUGAUGGUUGGUGAAACCACUAGUUUCAAGAAGGGCAAGGGCAAGAAGGGAUACUUCAUGAAACGGCAAAUCAGCUGCUGCUCUAGUGAAGAAACCCAAGGUUGAACCCAAACCCGAGACUAAGUGCUUCUGUAAUAAGGGGAACAACCACUGGAGCAGAAUUACCCUAGAUACUUGGUAGAUGAGAAGGCUGGCAAGGUCGAUAGAAGUAUAUUGGAUAUACAUUAUGUUAAUGUGUACUUUACUAGUACUCCUAGUAGCACCAGGGUAUUAGAUACCGGUUCGGUUGCUAAGUGUCAGUAACUUGAAAUUAAAGGCUACGGAAUAAACGGAGACUAGCUAAAUGUGAGUUGACGAUAUGUGUUGGAAGUGUUUCCAAGUUUGAUAUGAUCAAACAUCGCACGCUCCCUCUACCAUCAAGAUUAGUAUUAAACCUGAAUAAUUGUCAUUUGGUGUUUGCGUUGAGCAUAGACAUGAUUGGAUUAUGUCUAUCGCAAUACGGUUAUUCAUUUAAGGGGAAUAAUGGUUACUCUAUUUAUUUGAAUAAUACCUUUAAUGGUCUUGCACCUAAAGGAAUGGUUUAUUGAAUCUCGAUCGUAGUGAUACACAUUUUCAUGCCAAAAGAUAUAAGAUAGUAAUGAUAGCACCACUUACUUGUGGCACUGCCAUAUAAGUCAUAUUGGUAUAAAACGUAUGAAGAAGCUCCAUGUUGAUGGAUCUUUGGACUCACUCGUUUUUGAAAAGUUUGAGACAUGCGAACCAUGUCUAUUGGUGUAUACGCAUGAAGAACCUCCAUGCAGAUGGAUCGUUUGGACUCACUUGAUUUUGAAUCACUUGAGAUAUGCAAGUCUUACCACAUGGGCAAGAUGACUGAAAAGCCUCGUUUUCAGUAAGAUGGAACAAGAUAGCAACUUAUUGGAAGUAACACAUUUUUAUGUGUGCAGUCCAAUGAGUGCUGAGGCAUGCAGUGAAUAUCAUUAUGUUCUUACUUCACAGAUGAUUCGAGUAGAUGUUGAGUAUAUUUACUUGAUGAAACACAAGUCUGAAUUAUUGAAUGGUUCAAGUAAUUUCAGAGUGAAGUUGAAGAUCAUUGUGACAAGAGGAUAAAAUGUCUAUGAUAUGAUCAUAGAGAUGAGUAUCUGAGUUACGAGCUUUGCCACGCAAUUAAGACAUUGUGGAAAUGUUUAAAAAUUAGUACCGCCUGGAACACCAUAGUGUGAUGGUGUGUCCGAACAUCAUAGUUGCACCCUAUUGGAUAUAUAUGGUGCGUACCAUGAUGUCUCUUAUCAAAUUACCACUAUCGUUCAUGGGUUAGGCAUUAGAGACAACCGCACUCACUUCAAUAGGGCACCACGUAAUUCCGUUGAGACGACACCAUUUGAACUAUGGUUUGGAGAAACCUAAGUUGUCGUUUCUUAAAAGUUUGGGGCUGCGACGCUUAUGUGAAAAGUUUCAUCAUGAUAAGCUCGAACCCAAAACGGAUAAAUACAUCUUCAUAGGAUACCCAAAACAGUUGGGUAUACCUCCUAAUUCAGAUCCGAAAGCAAUAGGGAUUGUUUCUUAAAUCGGGUCCUUUCUCGAGGAAAAGUUUGUCUCGAAAAGUUGAGUGGGAGGAUGGUGGAGACUUGAUAUGGUUAUUGAACCGUCACUACAACUAGUGUGUAGCAGGGCACAGGAAGUUGUUCCUGUGGCACCUACACCAAUUGAAGUAGAAGCUUAUGAUAGUGAUCAUGAAACUUUGGAUCAAGUCACUACCGUACCUCGUAGGGUGACAAGGAUGCGUACUGCUUCAGAGUGGUACAAUAAUCCUGUCUUGAAGGUCACGUUGCUAGACAACAAUGAACCUACGAGCUAUGGAGAAGCAAUGGUUGGCCCAAAUUCUGACAAAUGGUUAGAAGCCAUGAAAUCCGAGAUAGAAUCCAUGUAUCAAAACAAAGCCUGGACUUUGGUGGACUUGCCCGAUGAUCGGCAAGCCAUUGAGAUAAAUGGAUCUUUAAGAAGAAGACGGACGUGGACGGUAAUGUCACCGUCUAUGAAGCUCGACUUGUGGUAAAGAGUUUUUCACAAGUUCAAGGAGUUGACUACGAUGAGAUUUUCUCAUCCGUAACGAUGCUUAAGUCCGUCAGAAUCAUGUUAGCAUUAGCUGCAUUUAUGAAAUCUGGCAGAUGGAUGUCAAAAUGAGUUUCCUUACCAGUUUUCGUAAGGAAAGGUUGUAUGUGAUACAAUCAGAAAGGUUUUGUCGAUCCUAAGGAUGCUAAAAGGUAUGCUAGCUCCAGCGAUCCUUCCAUGGACUGGAGUAAGCAUCUCGAGUUGGAAUAUGCACUUUGAUAAGAUGAUCAAAGAUUUUUGUUUAUACAAAGUUUAUGAGAAACUUGUAUUUCCAAAGAAGUGAGUGGGAGCACUAUAGAAUUUCUGAUGAGUAUAUGUUGUUGACAUAUUGUUGAUCAGAAAUGAUGUAGAAUUUCUGGAAAGCAUAUAGGGUUAUUUGAAAGGUGUUUUUUAAUAGAAAACCUGGAUUAAGCUACUUGAACAUUGAGCAUCAAGAUCUAUGAGGAUAGAUCAAAAACGCUUAAUGGUACUUUCAAAUGAGCAUAUACCUUAACAUGAUCUUGAAGGUGUUCAAGAUGGAUCAGUCAAAGAAGGAGUUCUUGCCUGAGAUGUAAGGUAUGAAGUUAAGACUUAAAGCUCGACCACGGCAGAAAAGAGAGAAAGGACGAAGGUCGUCCCCU